rnacentral:tRNA from 1 species
UCCCAGUUGGCUUAGUCUGUGGAGCAUGUGACUCUAGAUCUUGGGUUUGUAAGUUCGAACCCUACGUUGGGUA